CCUACGGGAGGCAGCAGUGAGGAAUAUUGGUCAAUGGGCGCGAGCCUGAACCAGCCAAGCCGCGUGAAGGAAGACUGUCCAGCGGGUCGUAAACCUCUUUUGUCAGGGAACAAAGGCAGGGACGAGUCCCCGGAUGGAGGUACCUGAAGAAAAAGCAUCGGCUAACUCCGUGCCAGCAGCCGCGGUAAUACGGAGGAUGCGAGCGUUAUCCGGAUUUAUUGGGUUUAAAGGGUGCGCAGUCGGCCUGUUAAGUCAGCGGUAAAAGCCCGGGGCUCAACCCAGGCGAGCCGUUGAAACUGGCGGGCUGGAGUGGGAGAGAAGUACGCGGAAUGCGGGGUGUAGCGGUGAAAUGCGUAGAUAUACGGAGGAACACCAGUGGCGAAGGCGGAGUGCUGGACAGUAACUGACGCUGAGGCGCGAAAGCGUGGGGAGCAAACAGGAUUAGAUACCCGAGUAGUC
rnacentral:rRNA from 1 species